ACGAACGCUGGCGGCAGGCCUCACACAUGCAAGUCGAGCGCGCCCUUCGGGGUGAGCGGCGGACGGGUGAGUAACGCGUGGGAACGUGCCCUUUUCUACGGAAUAGCCUCGGGAAACUGAGAGUAAUACCGUAUACGCCCUUUGGGGGAAAGAUUUAUCGGAAAAGGAUCGGCCCGCGUUGGAUUAGGUAGUUGGUGGGGUAAUGGCCUACCAAGCCGACGAUCCAUAGCUGGUUUGAGAGGAUGAUCAGCCACACUGGGACUGAGACACGGCCCAGACUCCUACGGGAGGCAGCAGUGGGGAAUCUUAGACAAUGGGGGCAACCCUGAUCUAGCCAUGCCGCGUGAGUGAUGAAGGCCUUAGGGUUGUAAAGCUCUUUCAGCUGGGAAGAUAAUGACGGUACCAGCAGAAGAAGCCCCGGCUAACUCCGUG
rnacentral:rRNA from 1 species